rnacentral:snRNA from 1 species
GUGUUUGCUUUGGCAGCACAUAUACUAAAAUUGGAAUGAUACAGAGAAGAUUAGCUUGGCCCCUGUGCAAGGAUGACAUGCAAAUUUGUGAAGCAUUCCAUAUUUUU